GCGGCGGGUGUGCGGCGGGGACACCGACACGGACAGCGACGAGACCGUCGUGGAGGGCUCUGUGACGGAGAGUGAUGUGGAGGAAGAGGAGUUCUGUAGGAGGAGGUUGGCUUUUCUUAAUGUGGACAUAACUUUAACCACUGAGAUGAGUAUUACUAAAGGAACUCCUUCUCCAGAAAUAUGUUUUAUACAGAAAUUUGGUGGCCGGACAUACUGUCGAAAGGAAGACGAGAUAAAUCCAGUAAGUACACCAAUGAUAGGGGCCCACCCCUGGUGGUCUAGUGGUUAGGGUGCAGGACUCUCACCGCUGUGACCCGGGUU
rnacentral:lncRNA from 1 species